rnacentral:rRNA from 1 species
GACGAACGCUGGCGGCGUGCUUAACACAUGCAAGUCGAACGGAAAGGCCCUGCUUUUGUGGGGUGCUCGAGUGGCGAACGGGUGAGUAACACGUGAGUAACCUGCCCUUGACUUUGGGAUAACUUCAGGAAACUGGGGCUAAUACCGGAUAGGAGCUCCUGCUGCAUGGUGGGGGUUGGAAAGUUUCGGCGGUUGGGGAUGGACUCGCGGCUUAUCAGCUUGUUGGUGGGGUAGUGGCUUACCAAGGCUUUGACGGGUAGCCGGCCUGAGAGGGUGACCGGCCACCUUGGGACUGAAAUGCGGCCCCGACUCCUACGGGAGGCCGCAGUGGGGAAUUUUGCACAAUGGGCGGAAGCCUGAUGCAGCAACGCCGCGUGCGGGAUGACGGCCUUCGGGUUGUAACCCGCUUUCGCCUGUGACGAAGCGUGAGUGACGGUGAUGGGUAAAGAAGCACCGGCUAACUACGUGC